UGUAAACAAGACCAUCCAUGCACUGUCCUGCACUACCUCACUACCUGCAGCACCCUCAGUCCUCGUUAAGGCCACUGGGAUGCCUUGUGUCCAUUCUGGCGAUCCACACCCUCUCUGCUCUCCUCCUCUGGGGAGCACUCCAUCUAGGGUUGCACUCAAUGACACACACAGAGACAGAAUUCCAAUCAUGAGAAAUGAAGUGUUUCACCAGUGGCGUGCGUGUCUUUUUCUGUUUGACAAUAUUAUGUUUGUGUUGUGUCAUACGGGUGGCAAUGGUAUUCCCAGUCUCUCCCACAUAUUGAACACCGCAUUUGACACAUGUGAUCAGGUAGACACAAUUAGACGAUUUGACAUUCCCUCUGGUCGGGUUAUGAAAAACCUCUUUAGUAGCAUGACUGCUAAACCACUCCCUGUGUUUGAACCACUGAUUUGAACCUCCGGACCUGCCCCUUUGAAAGGGUGGAAUUUUGGCUUUCACCAAGUGAUCUUGUAAAUUCUUAUUCCUUCUGAAGGCUGAAAUGAUCCUGUGGUCCUGCAGGAUGGAAGACCCCGUGGUGUGGGAGAGGAAUCUCCUUCUACAUCCCCUGACCAGUUCCACCGUAGAAGGAUGGAAGACCCCGUGGUGUGGGAGAGGAAUCUCCUUCUACAUCCCCUGACCAGUUCCACCGUAGAAGGCAGGCUUGUGGGGACAACUAGUUUAAGUACCUCACCCAGUGAUUGAACAUGCGGACCGCUGUUGAUGGGGACCAGUGAAUAUUAUCCGGGCCUGUGUGAAAGAGGCUCGGUGGCAGAGCUGGGAUGUACUCACACAACCUGGCGAUGGCAGAGUUCAGGAUGGAAGACCCCGUGGUGUGGGAGAGGAAUCUCCUUCUACAUCCCCUGACCAGUUCCACCGUAGAAGG
ensembl:lncRNA